rnacentral:tRNA from 1 species
GGUUCGGUGGUGUAAAUGGUAGCAUAGCGGUCUCCAAAACCGCAGAUAAGGGUUCGACUCCCAUCCGAUCUG